CAAAACUGAUGUAAAAGCUAUAAUAGAGUUGUAAAAUCAACGGUUUGACGUUUGCCGUAAACGUCAAUCUUAAGGUCUCUAACGUCAAACCACUAACGAAGUUUUUGAUUUUACAACUCUAUUACCACCGCUUUUACACCAGUUUUU